CUUUCAUACUUUUCUGGACCUUGACAGUGUAAGUUACUUGGCAGCCAAUGGGACAGUCAAAAGUCUCCCGGUUUUCAUCCAAAAUAUCUUAAAUUGUGUUCCGAAGAUGAACGUAGCUUUUACGGGUUUGGAAUGACAUGGGGGUAAGUGAUUAAUGACAAAAUUUUCAUUUUAGGGUGGGGUAACCCUUAAAGGUUAUUAAUAAGGUAGUGUGCUCCAAAAUAAUGACAAAAUUCAUAUUUAGAAGAUAUAAGCAUGCAAAACUUAGUCUCUAACUUCCACCAAUAUAGAUCAAUGAUUUUGAUGACAUCAGCCCUGCAAUUUAGCUUCUCAUCAAACUUUCUGUCCAAUCAAAUGCUCUCUAGAAUCUUAAAGGUCCCAUCCCCUACAUUAUAAAUACAUGCUGAAACUGUGGCUGGAAUCGCUCACUUGUUUACAAAAUUUGUAUUUUCUGUAUGGUGAAUGGCAUGUAGUGUAUUAUAUAGGGGAUAUGGAACGAUUCAGACAGUUUAAAUAUGCUUUCCAUUGGGGAGAAUAAAGUCUGAUUUUGCACUGUUUCACGUGAACCGCCGCAGUGUGCACACAGUCUGCUCCAGCCCAGAGACAAGAUACACAAAAAACAGCCAGAGCUACAUGCAUCUUGUAUAUUGUGGUUUCAAAUAACAGGUGAUGCAUGCGACAUCAGUGUUUUUGACACCACAAGGUGAGAAAAAACACUUACAAGCAACUCAGUGCCUCCACUACUCUUUAGUUUAUACAGAGUUUUUUCACUGGUGAGACUGAUUAUAUUAAAGCACAUCAUGCAGAUUUUUUAAGAAUAUUUAAUUGGUAUGUACAGAAGAAGAUGACUUAUAACCCUAUCUCUAUCUCAGCUAAUGUGAAUGUGGGUAUAGUGAACAGCACAGAAGCAAAACCCCACUCCAGACCUUACAUGGUUUUUGUUUAGAAAAGCUGUAAACAUGUCUUGGUGGAUUCCUCAUUUCUGAUAGAUUUGUCAUGAAUCCAGCACAUUGCAGGAAGACAAAUAAGAAACUAACAGCUGUGAUUGGUGUGCAUGACUUAAAAAAAAAAAAAAAAAAGAAGGAGAUGAUUGCAUCAGAUUGAAGUCUUACUACAUGCAUCCAGACUUUAACAAUCGCACUUUGCAGAAUGACAUUAUGCUUUUGAGGCUAAAGAAAUAAGUUGAACAAAACAAGAUUGUCAAGACAAUUUCCAUACCAACACAAGAGGAAGACAUCAAAGCUGAUUCUGUUUGCAGUGUUGCCAGCUGAGGAAGACUAAGGUUUAAAGAGAAAUAGAGCACACGUCUCAUGGAAGCAGAUGUGAAGAUCAUGAAUAACACGGAAUGCAAAAAUAAAUGGAAAGACAACUACUCAGCCUCACAGAUGAUGUGUGUCUAUGGCCAUGGAGGAAGAUUCAGGAGGUCCUUUGGUUUGUGGAGACACUGCAGUCAGUGUCACAUCCUUUGGUGACCCAAAAGUCUGCAAUAGUCAUGAAAGACCUGAAGUUUAUGCAAAGAUUUCAGAAUAUCUUCCAUGGAUCUGGUCCAUAAUUGCAAAUGUUAAGUAAUUUUUGCAAUGAGAAAGGAUG
ensembl:lncRNA